GAUGAACGCUGGCGGCGUGCCUAAUACAUGCAAGUCGAGCGAACGGACGAGAAGCUUGCUUCUCUGGUGUUAGCGGCGGACGGGUGAGUAACACGUGGAUAACCUACCUAUAAGACUGGGAUAACUUCGGGAAACCGUAGCUAAUACCGGAUAAUAUUUUGAACCGCAUGGUUCAAAAGUGAAAGACGGUCUUGCUGUCACUUAUAGAUGGAUCCGCGCUGCAUUAGCUAGUUGGUAAGGUAACGGCUUACCAAGGCAACGAUGCAUAGCCGACCUGAGAGGGUGAUCGGCCACACUGGAACUGAGACACGGUCCAGACUCCUACGGGAGGCAGCAGUAGGGAAUCUUCCGCAAUGGGCGAAAGCCUGACGGAGCAACGCCGCGUGAGUGAUGAAGGUCUUCGGACCGUAAAACUCUGUUAUUAGGGAAGAACAUAUGUGUAAGUAACUGUGCACAUCUUGACGGUACCUAAUCAGAAAGCCACGGCUAACUACGUG
rnacentral:rRNA from 1 species